UGCCUAGAAUCUCAGCACGGGAGCUGCCUUUGUCACAGACCUUGGUUCCCCAUUCAAUCGAGCACCUGUGCAGUUGCCCUGUGGUCUGGCAUCCCAGGCUCAGCAGUGACAGCUCCUGAUGGGCUUUCACCUGACUUUCUAAAUCAGUGCUGUUCACUCAGCCAGAGCCUGGUCACCCCCGCAUGGAGUAGGAGUGAAGCUUAUGAAAAGGUGAGGUGCCAAACACACAGAGGAGAACACGGAGGAGGCCAUACUGUAAUAAAGAGAAAGCAAGCAGUCAGAAGUCACCCCAUAAAACACCUUCCACCCUCUGAGCAUGACCAGCAAAGCGGUUUCUUCUUGCGGGCACUGCAUCAGUCCAGCUCAAAGUGCAUUCCAUUCUGAUGAACAUCCACAAACAGUUAUGAAGAAGACCCAAAUGUCAUGAUUUUGUUCCUCUCAGAUAAUAAAAAUAUCAUGAGUCUGAAGGAGUGGUGGUGGGUGUUCAAGUCAAUUCAGUUACAAGCGUACGCCUUACCCCAGUUCUCGUGACUUCAUCCUGAAUUAGAGUUGUCCCCUGUCAUCUGGAAUAUAUUUCCCAUUGAGACACAUUACUCUCACUCCUUCUACAGCUGUCCCAGGCUCAGUGCUUGAUUUCUCAGAGAUUUUGUUAUGUGAAUCAGUCCAAAGUGUGUUACAGCAAGACUAAGUCAUCAUGAGUCACAUGAUCCACACAUUUCCUAUUUGUAUCUUUACUUGGUUGAGUGUGUUGUCGGGGGUUAGAAUAUAUUUUGGUCUGCUUUAACCUUUGUGUUCAAAUUCACUCUUAGGUUGAAAGAAAAAUAUAAACUCAAAUUUAAAGAAUAGCCUUCUUUAAAAGACAAGCUUGGCUAUGACUAAGCAGUUGUUACUUGAUGAGCGAGAGAAGCCCCUUCUUGGAUAAUUGGGGCUGCAGGAAUGGAGUGACCGUUUCCCCAUCAGCAUCCUCUCUGGGUGCUUCAGGUCUGAGCUAGAAGAGCAAGGGCCAGCGUCCCCCAGCACGUAGUUGUCUUGAUGCCACAGACAAAAUAAUUUAAUUCAUGUAUGCGUCCUCAUAAAUCUGACAAAUGUUUAGAAAAUGGAAGCUUUGAAACGUGCCGAAUUUGGGAGAGAAAGGUGUGCCUUUUACAGGACCAUCAGGUCAUCGCUCUGAUCUGGGAAUUUUUACGUAGUGAAUACAGAUUUCCCAGCCCAUAAACUGAACUCUGUUACCAAAGCAUUUUUAAAAUCUCGAUUUACAGUUUUCUUUCUGUGAGUUGGCAGAAAAUUUAAACUAGUUCAUUCUUGGUAUAUUCAGGAAAUUCCAAAAUUUCUCUCUUUUAGGAGGCACAAGUCCUUUCUUCCCCCUUUUUUCCCCAAGUGGGCAGGCAUUUGUGGCACCCAGCAUCAGGAAGAAAGUCCUUGCUCAGCCUUUCUCUGUGUUGUCAUAUCACACAGUGAUAGGAUCAUAGUUAAAGCUAGUAUUUAUACUUCGCUCUCUAUUUUGUACUUCGCUCUCUAUUUUAAGAGCUUUACAUAAAAAAAUUAAUUGAGG
ensembl:lincRNA